rnacentral:snRNA from 1 species
GGAUGUGAGGACGAUCUGGCUGCAGCAUCUGUCACCCCAUUGAUUGCCAGGGUUGAUUCGGCUGACCUGGCUGGCUAGGCAGGUGUCCCCUUCCUCUCUCACCGCUCCAUGUGCAUCCCUCCUGAAGCUGCGUGCUCUCUCGAAGAGGACGGCCUUCCCCGAAUAGAGACGGACUGGUCUUCAGUCGAGGGUAUAUGAGUAGCUGCGCUCCCCUGCUAGAACCUCCAAACAAGCUCUCAAUAACAGUUUUAUUGAGAUGUAAUUCACAUACCAUUCAGUUCACCCAUUUAAAGAGUACAGUUCAGUAAGUUUUAGUAU